GGGGCUGUGGUUCAAUGGUAGAGGAUUUGCUCAGUAACCAAAAGGCCCCAGGUUCAAACCCUGGCAUCUCCA
rnacentral:tRNA from 1 species